GGCGGGGUAGCACACGGUGGGUGUGCGUCAGGGCAAAAUUGUGGUGUUUGGACGUUGAUCUGAAGGCGCCUGCUCGACUCAGGCCCCCGCCA